rnacentral:rRNA from 1 species
UACGUAGGGGCCUAGCGUUGUCCGGAUUUAUUGGGCGUAAAGAGCUCGUAGGCGGUUUGGCAAGUCGGGUGUGAAAACUCCGGGCUCAACUCGGAGACGCCACUCGAUACUGCCAUGACUCGAGUCCGGUAGGGGAGUGCGGAAUUCCUGGUGUAGCGGUGAAAUGCGCAGAUAUCAGGAGGAACACCUAUUGCGAAGGCAGCUCGCUGGGACGUAACUGACGCUGAGACGCGAAAGCGUGGGGAGCAAACAGG